rnacentral:tRNA from 1 species
AGGCAUGUAGCUCAAUUGGCAGAGCAGUGGAUUCCAAAUCCACCGGUUAAGAGUUCGAGUCCCUUCAUGCCUGCCA